rnacentral:tRNA from 1 species
AAUGUCGUACUUCACUGAUCGAUUCCAGGCUGUUGUCGAGAGACAGAUUGCUUGGGGUUAUAUGGUCAAGUGAAG